rnacentral:rRNA from 1 species
GUGAGGAAUAUUGGUCAAUGGGCGCAAGCCUGAACCAGCCAUCCCGCGUGCAGGAAGACGGCGCUAUGCGUUGUAAACUGCUUUUCCAGGGAGAGAAACUUGCGCACGUGUUGCGCAAUUGACGGUACCCUGGGAAUAAGCAUCGGCUAACUCCGUGCCAGCAGCCGCGGUAAUACGGAGGAUGCGAGCGUUAUCCGGAUUCAUUGGGUUUAAAGGGUGCGUAGGCGGACUAUUAAGUCAGUGUUGAAAUCCUGCAGCUUAACUGCAGAACUGCCAUUGAUACUGAUAGCCUUGAGUUUGGUUAAGGUAGGCGGAAUGUGUAAUGUAGCGGUGAAAUGCUUAGAUAUUACACAGAACACCAAUUGCGUAGGCAGCUUACUGAGCCGACACUGACGCUGAGGCACGAAAGCGUGGGGAUCGAACAGGAUUAGAUACCCUAGUAGUCC